rnacentral:lncRNA from 1 species
UGUUUGUGUAACAUUUAAUAAAAUGUUUUAUCUCAGUGGCAUUUGGAUUUAAAAAUUAUUUUGGGCUGUCACAGAAUGUUGACUUUUCCUAAUCUGUUACAUAGGGCCGUGGGUCUGGAUUUCCAGGAAAGCGGAGACCUCGAGGUGCAGGACUGUCGGGGCGAGGUGGCCGAGGCAGGUCAAAGCUGAAAAGUGGAAUCGGAGCUGUUGUAUUGCCUGGGGUGUCUACUGCAGAUAUUUCAUCAAAUAAGGAUGAUGAAGAAAACUCUAUGCACAAUACAGUUGUGUUGUUUUCUAGCAGUGACAAGUUCACUUUGAAUCAGGAUAUGUGUGUAGUUUGUGGCAGUUUUGGCCAAGGAGCAGAAGGAAGAUUACUUGCCUGUUCUCAGUGUGGUCAGUGUUACCAUCCAUACUGUGU